GCGGUAGUCUAGAGAAGGGUUGAAACAAUAGCUAAGACUUACGCGCAGGUAGGGGUGAUUAACGGGUCAGAACUGGACCGCACUGAGCCGAAAUCAUAACCGUUAAACUGAUUUGAAGGAAGAUAUUGUCAAAGGAUUAGGCUUCAAUCUAAUGAUUUUUCCCCGCAGAUGGUGCAUGGUGCAGUUAUAUCGUUUUUGUUCUUCAAGAGGUUCUAGGAGGUUCUGAAAGGGCAGAUGAGGAUUUGGUUCAUGGAGCUUUAACAAGUGCGGAACUUGCAAUCCCAAGUGGAAAAGUUGAUUCGAAGAGCACAACAAUUCCACACUGUAGUGUUGCAAAACCGAGUCGGAGAGAUGCAACACAAAUGAGAGAAGAUAUGCAACGAUAAAUAGUCGAGUUGAUGAAAUAGUUUGGUAAUCCUAGCAAUUCUCUACCGUAGUUUAGUUUUUGUUUGCCGUCUUUUACGGUUGAACUUAUAAUUUGACAACCGUGGCAUUUUUUGUGGUUGAACCUUGUAAUUUGACAAUUGUUUGGAUGAACUUUUAGUUGGAAAA